rnacentral:rRNA from 1 species
GCCUGAACGCUGGCGGCGUGGUUAAGACAUGCAAGUCGUACGGGUGUAGCAAUACACCAGUGGCGAACGGGUGAGUAAUGUAUCGCUAACGUGCCCUGGAGACGAGGAUAGCCAUCCGAAAGGGUGGGUAAUACUCGGUGACAUGCCGGAGUCGCAUGGCUCUGGCCUCAAAGGCCGCAAGGCGCUCUGGGAGCGGGCGAUAUCGUAUCAGCUAGUUGGUGAGGUAACGGCCCACCAAGGCGACGACGCGUAGCGGGACUGAGAGGUCGGCCCGCCACAUCGGGACUGAGACACUGCCCGGACUCCUACGGGGGGCUGCAGUAACGAAUCUUCCCCAAUGCACGAAAGUGUGAGGGAGCGACGCCGCGUGGAGGACGAAGUCCUUCGGGAUGUAAACUCCUGUCAGGGGUUACCAAGUUCUGAGGAACCCCAGAGGAAGGCAC